UUUACUAGUGGGAUUUUUUAAUGGAAAAAUCACUGAAGAAUGCACACUAUAAUCCUAAAUGAAUCCAUAUCCCUUGCAAAAUGAAAAAAAAAAAAAGCUUCCUUCAUGUGCAACAGUAGUUAAGACAGGGUCCUGCUGGCAACAUUUCUGUGAACUGUUGGUUCAGCUAGGAUGCACAUCCACGUAGCUGUGAAGUGCUGGGGCCAGGCUCUAGCUCCAUGGUCCCCUACCCCAAGACAAAACUUAGAGAUGAAAGAAAGGUCUUCGUGUGGUUCUGAACAUUUCUUAGAGGUGGAUUUGGGUGAGGAAGGAGAGGAAGAACAAGGAACUGGGUGCUAAAGAGAAUCACAAAGAAUGUCUCAGCUGUGAGGUGUGAUGAUCAGCUUCACAGUUUUGAAAUGCAUCAUGUAAAGCAUUUACACUGACUCUUUUGUGAGGGCUGCCAGACCUGGGAAGGCGCUCUGCCAUUAUGGACAUUAAGGUAAUAUGCAACAAGCAAGCAAACAAACAACAAAAAAGCUUGUUCUACUUUGCAUUAGGAAGCAGCUACAACUGCUUGUCUUAUUGUGUUAGAAAACAUUUUUACCCUUGUUUAGAUGCUAUGGUAAAAGGGUCUGCUUUUUAUUCACAAAUAACAAUCAUUUAUUUUUGUCAUAUUUUUUAACCCCUUUGCUGUGAAAUCCAAUUUUAGCUGUUCUUCCUGAACUGUGUUUCCUGUUCCGCCUUAGGAAGCACAACAGUUGUUGCUUGGGCCCUGCUGAUCAGAGA